GGACCCCCGUGAUGUCUAGCACUGGGCUCUGAUCAUCCUGAGGACAUGGUGCCCUCAGGGACCUUUGACACCCUGGGGUCUGAGGGGUCC
rnacentral:snoRNA from 1 species